AUUGAACGCUGGCGGCAGGCCUAACACAUGCAAGUCGAACGGUAACAGGGAUCAGCUUGCUGAUUCGCUGACGAGUGGCGGACGGGUGAGUAAUGUCUGGGAAACUGCCUGAUGGAGGGGGAUAACUACUGGAAACGGUAGCUAAUACCGCAUAACGUCGCAAGACCAAAGAGGGGGACCUUCGGGCCUCUUGCCAUCGGAUGUGCCCAGAUGGGAUUAGCUAGUAGGUGGGGUAACGGCUCACCUAGGCGACGAUCCCUAGCUGGUCUGAGAGGAUGACCAGCCACACUGGAACUGAGACACGGUCCAGAUUCCUACGGGAGGCAGCAGUGGGGAAUAUUGCACAAUGGGCGCAAGCCUGAUGCAGCCAUGCCGCGUGUAUGAAGAAGGCCUUCGGGUUGUAAAGUACUUUCAGCGGGGAGGAAGGGAGUAAAGUUAAUACCUUUGCUCAUUGACGUUACCCGCAGAAGAAGCACCGGCUAACUCCGUG
rnacentral:rRNA from 1 species